rnacentral:rRNA from 1 species
GCAAAUUACCCACUCCCGGCACGGGGAGGUAGUGACAAAAAUAACGAUACGGGACUCAUCCGAGGCCCCGUAAUCGGAAUGAGCACACUUUAAAUCCUUUAACAGUAUCCAUUGGAGGGCAAGUCUGGUGCCAGCAGCCGCGGUAAUUCCAGCUCCAAUAGCGUAUAUUAAAGUUGUUGCGGUUAAAAAGCUCGUAGUCGGACUUGUGUCACACGCUGCCGGUUCACCGCCCGUCGGUGUCUAACUGGCAUGCACGUGCUGACGUCCUGCCGGUGGCCCAAGCCGGUCCGGGAGCUCUUGGUGCGGGAUUCCCUCCGGGGGCCCUGCCUCGAACCCGGUCUCUGGGGAGGGCCUACUCAUACCCCUCGUGGUGCUCUUAACCGAGUGUCUCGAUGGGCCGGCACGUUUACUUUGAACAAAUUAGAGUGCUUAAAGCAGGCAGCAUCCGCCUGAAUACUGAGUGCAUGGAAUAAUGGAAUAGGACCUCGGUUCUAUUUUGUUGGUUUUCGGAAUCCCCGAGGUAAUGAUCAAUAGGGACAGACGGGGGCAUUCGUAUUGCGACGUUAGAGGUGAAAUUCUUGGAUCGUCGCAAGACGGACCGAAGCGAAAGCAUUUGCCAAGAAUGUUUUCUCUGAUCAAGAACGAAAGUUAGAGGUUCGAAGGCGAUCAGAUACCGCCCUAGUUCUAACCAUAAACGAUGCCAGCCAGCAAUCCGCCGAAGUUCCUCCGAUGACUCGGCGGGCGGCUUCCGGGAAACCAAAGCUUUUGGGUUCCGGGGGAAGUAUGGUUGCAAAGCUGAAACUUAAAGGAAUUGACGGAAGGGCACCACCAGGAGUGGAGCCUGCGGCUUAAUUUGACUCAACACGGGAAACCUCACCAGGCCCGGACACCGGGAGGAUUGACAGAUUGAGAGCUCUUUCUUGAUUCGGUGGGUGGUGGUGCAUGGCCGUUCUUAGUUGGU